AGCAAAACAGAACGUAACAGACCAAAGAGCGCGGACGAGAGCAUGCAGACAGACACCGCCAUGGUAGGAUGUGGCAGCUGAGAACUACAGGUUAAAGAGCAGGACUCUUGAGAGGUCUUAUGGAAAAGAGCUUGCAAGCCUUACCCAGAGGAGAGAAACAAACCGACCCGCUUAACGUUCUGUACCAAAAUUCACCUCAGAUACACAAUGCUGUGGACUGAGAGAACGAGAGGAACCUUGUUGCCCUGUCCUGCUCCAUUUUUGCACAUUCAUAGCUGCAAGCCAACAGUGCCAUCCACUGUUCCUGAGGGUAAUCUUGCUAAAUGGAUUUUUUCCACUGUUGAACAAAAUAAGACAUCCUAUUUUAGAGUCUCUGUGCUUGCAAACACUUGCUUCCUGGUACAGGCAAGAGCUUAAUACUUUUAAAGCAAAAAAGCUAAACUAUAAUUCGUGAUUGAGUUCUACAGAAAACUUUAUGUGUAAUUCAGAUUUUACUCCUAUGAUUGCAGUCUUUUAUUUAGAUAUUACUGCAUAUAAUUGAUUUUUACAAGGGCUGUAGGCCAGCUUCACAUCCAAAUCACAAACAGGGCAAUUCUGUGAUUGCACCAAAUGGUUGUCAGCACAAUCAACUCUGGAACUGACGUUUUCCUCAGAGUGGUGAAGCUGCCUGGUGUCAGGAGGGAAGCCACGCAUAAUAUUCACACCUACACUCAGAAAAGGUGCUACCGCAGUACAAAGCUCUGCUGGUUUUCAGUCAUUUCUCCAGUCAUCGGUUUGGACCUCGACUGCUCAAUGCACAGGUCUACAAAUAAUUUUUGUUGAUCAAAGAGGGAACCAGCAGCUUAGAAGAGACAUCAGAAAAUAGCCAUUUACACUGAAAUCAGGAAAAGAGGUUAGAAUAACAGUCAUAAUACAGAAAAAAAAGGAACAAGCAGGUCAGUAAGACAGGAUGCAACAAGAU